UACGGAGGGUGCGAGCGUUGUCCGGAAUCACUGGGCGUAAAGGGCGCGUAGGUGGCCCGUUAAGUGGCUGGUGAAAUCCCGCGGCUCAACUGCGGGGCUGCCGGUCAGACUGGCGAGCUAGAGCACGGUAGGGGCAGAUGGAAUUCCCGGUGUAGCGGUGGAAUGCGCAGAUAUCAGGAGGAACACCGGUGGCGAAGGCGGGUCUCUGGGCCGAUACUGACGCUGAGGAGCGAAAGCGUGGGGAGCGAACAGG
rnacentral:rRNA from 1 species